rnacentral:rRNA from 1 species
AGGCCCUUUCGGGGGUACUCGAGUGGCGAACGGGUGAGUAACACGUGGGUGAUCUGCCCUGCACUUUGGGAUAAGCCUGGGAAACUGGGUCUAAUACCGAAUAUUCCUUGCUGGCCGCAUGGUCUGGUGGGGGAAAGCUUUUGCGGUGUGGGAUGAGCCCGCGGCCUAUCAGCUUGUUGGUGGGGUGAUGGCCUACCAAGGCGACGACGGGUAGCCGGCCUGAGAGGGUGUCCGGCCACACUGGGACUGAGAUACGGCCCAGACUCCUACGGGAGGCAGCAGUGGGGAAUAUUGCACAAUGGGCGCAAGCCUGAUGCAGCGACGCCGCGUGGGGGAUGACGGCCUUCGGGUUGUAAACCUCUUUCAGUACCGACGAAGCGCAAGUGACGGUAGGUACAGAAGAAGCACCGGCCAACUACGUGCCAGCAGCCGCGGUAAUACGUAGGGUGCGAGCGUUGUCCGGAAUUACUGGGCGUAAAGAGCUCGUAGGUGGUUUGUCGCGUUGUCCGUGAAAACUCACAGCUUAACUGUGGGCGUGCGGGCGAUACGGGCAGACUGGAGUACUGCAGGGGAGACUGGAAUUCCUGGUGUAGCGGUGGAAUGCGCAGAUAUCAGGAGGAACACCGGUGGCGAAGGCGGGUCUCUGGGCAGUAACUGACGCUGAGGAGCGAAAGCGUGGGGAGCGAACAGGAUUAGAUACCCUGGUAGUCCACGCCGUAAACGGUGGGUACUAGGUGUGGGUUUCCUUCCUUGGGAUCCGUGCCGUAGCUAACGCAUUAAGUACCCCGCCUGGGGAGUACGGCCGCAAGGCUAAAACUCAAAGGAAUUGACGGGGGCCCGCACAAGCGGCGGAGCAUGUGGAUUAAUUCGAUGCAACGCGAAGAACCUUACCUGGGUUUGACAUGCACAG